rnacentral:rRNA from 1 species
GAUGAACGCUGGCGGCGUGCCUAAUACAUGCAAGUCGAACGCUGGAAAUCUAGCUUGCUAGCUUGAAGGAGUGGCGAACGGGUGAGUAAUACAUAAGCAACCUACCCACGAAGACUGGGAUAAUCUCUGGAAACGGGGACUAAUACCGGAUAGGUAAUCGGAAGGCAUCUUCUGAUUAUUAAAGGUUAAAAACACUGGUGGAUGGGCUUAUGGCGCAUUAGUUAGUUGGUGAGGUAACGGCCCACCAAGACGAUGAUGCGUAGCCGGCCUGAGAGGGUGAACGGCCACAUUGGGACUGAGACACGGCCCAGACUCCUACGGGAGGCAGCAGUAGGGAAAUUUCGGCAAUGGGGGAAACCCUGACCGAGCAACGCCGCGUGAGUGAUGACGGCCUUCGGGUUGUAAAGCUCUGUUGUAAGGGAAGAACGGUAGAUAGAGAAUAUCUAAAUGACGGUACCUUACCAGAAAGCCACGGCUAACUACGUG